rnacentral:lncRNA from 1 species
CAGCCCAUGGGCAAGUUAGAGACAGGAGUGGUGUCUGUAGAGUGGAGGAAAGCAGAGGCUGCCGCUGACAGUCCUGCAACCCUUGCUCUGGCUGCUCACAGCUCUCCACCUUCUCUGGACUUUGUCACUUCAGUAUGUGAAACAACCGUUUCAACCAGCUUGGACAAAAGAGAGAAGCCAAGAUGGGGCUGAGAAACCAAUGCAGGCAGGCCCAGGGACCCAGGAGUCAGGGACCAGGCGCUACCGUAUGCUUGCUCCGACUCGUGUUGCUGCUGUCUUCUCUGUGCCUCAACUCUGUCCUCUGUCACUGCAGGCAGCUUCCUCCCAAGGUGAUGGAGACCAUGCCAUUGCUAGUCUACCUUGAAAGACAGAUGCGAAGAAUCAAGUCAGGGGCUUUGCAGGAAGGCGAUAUAUCCCACCUCAUGAAAUCAGCCUUCACCACAAGAUUGCUUUGACCAAUGGGAUGUGAGUAGAAGUUUGAAGAACCACAGACUGGUCCAUCACCUUGUUUCUUAUCCCUCUGACAUAAGCAAUGUCCCAGAUUGGGGCUGUUCCGUUAGCCUGGCUUCCAGAAUGAAGAGAGCUGAUCUACAUGGCAUAUGUAACAUAGAUAAACCUUUGUUAUUACAAACCA